GAGGGAGGAAUUCUGUCGUCUGGGAACGGCUGGUUUCGCGGUCAGACGCCGAGGGCCCUCGAAGUCCCUAGCAACGGCUGCGGAGGGAGAUGAUGUCAGCAAACUCAUGACUGCUCCGGCUGAUGAAGGUUUGCUGGAGGCAAUCACUCCCUGGCGCCGUUAUCUACUGCGACAUCUAGAGAAUGCAGUCUUGCAAGACUACUCUGGACCCCUGGCGCCGUUAUCUACUGCGACAUCUAGAGAAUGCAGUCUUGCAAGACUACUCUGGACCCCUGGCGCCGUUAUCUACUGCGACAUCUAGAGAAUGCAGUCUUGCAAGACUACUCUGGACCGAGCAGCUGACCCCUUCUUCCACCUCCCCUUCUCACUGUCUCUUUUGCCUAAUAAAUAUGAAGGGCUGUGUAAAGCUCAGGGCCCUUGUCCCCUAGAGGCAAAGCGCCCCCGAUCCCUUCUUCCAAAUACA
rnacentral:lncRNA from 1 species